AGAAUAAGCUCUAUUUUUGUCUCCAUUUAAAUUUUAUAAGUAUUUUAUCAGUUUGAUGCACCCAAAGGAUGUUACUCGGUGUUUUCUCACUGUGCAUUGGCGCAAAUAUCGAGAAUUUGGCAGAUCGCCUUGGCAACCGUUGCCAGGUCAACACAGACAACAACAGAGCAAUAACAAAAGCAAUUGCGUGUGCAGUGCAAUUGAAUAUCUCGAUUCGAGCCUGACCUAAACGGAAAUUGUUGGCCUGUGUCAAUAUACAAUUGGCCAAAAAGGACAACAAAUAAUAUCACAUAAUUUAUCAAUAAAUUCAAGGCUUUCUGUGUUUCAACAAA